CUGCUGCCUCCCGUAGGAGUUUGGGCCGUGUCUCAGUCCCAAUGUGGCCGUCCACCCUCUCAGGCCGGCUACUGAUCGCUGCCUUGGUGGGCCGUUACCCCGCCAACUAGCUAAUCAGACGCGGAUCCAUCGUAUACCACCGGAGUUUUUCACACUGCCCCAUGCGGAGCCGUGCGCUUAUGCGGUAUUAGCACCUAUUUCUAAGUGUUAUCCCCCGGUAUACGGCAGGUUAUCCACGCGUUACUCACCCGUCCGCCA
rnacentral:rRNA from 1 species